CAGUAGCCGCGGUAAUACAGAGGGUGCAAGCGUUAAUCGGAAUUACUGGGCGUAAAGCGCGCGUAGGUGGUUUGUUAAGUCGAAUGUGAAAUCCCCGGGCUCAACCUGGGAACUGCAUCCGAAACUGGCAAGCUAGAGUAUGGUAGAGGGUAGUGGAAUUUCCUGUGUAGCGGUGAAAUGCGUAGAUAUAGGAAGGAACACCAGUGGCGAAGGCGACUACCUGGACUGAUACUGACACUGAGGUGCGAAAGCGUGGGGAGCAAACAGGAUUAGAUACCCCGGUAGUCCCUGUCUCUUAUAC
rnacentral:rRNA from 1 species